GCCUGGCAGCUUUCUGCUGUGUCCAAAUUCACAUGCCAUCAUUGACUGGCCUCGUCUGUGGCUCCACAGGUAGUUCUGCCUCGCAGCUGCACCUGCUGCUGAUUGCCUGAGCUCAGCUCCUCUGCAAAGCAGGGCAGAAGCACCUCACACACAACUCCUCUGGAGCAGGUGGGACAUACCAGUCAGGCCUAGCUUGAAAAACUCCCAGUGAAGUUCUGCAUGACAGCUACAGAGCAGGUGGCUGUGAGUCCCAAGUCUCCCAAAGCAACACUGCUUCCCAAGGGGAAUUCAGUCCUCACUCAGCCAGGCUGCAAGGUGUGUUUUGAAGGCAGGUGGGCUAAGUGCAUGUGAGGUCACAAUCUUUGUUGAUUCCUACCAAGUUCAGACUUCUCAUGGCCUUCAUAUUAACCUGCAGAGCACUCAGCUGAAGGGCAGUGCACUGCAAGUAUGCCUGUUCAGUCUGGAGAGAGAAUGAAAUCAUGGAACUUUUCAUUAUCAACCUUUCCUUUGGCUGGGAAGAAAAUGAGAUACUACUUUCUGAAAACUAGAACUAAUAAGAAAAACUCCAAGGAGAAAAACCUUUAAAUGGCCUCAAAGAACUGUGAAAAGCACUAUCUCAAGUUGCUCUCUGACUGCCAGAUGUGAUCACCAGGCUGGGAUAUCCUCACGUGUCCUGGAGUGCCCAUGGAAAUCCAGCAACUGCAAUGGUUUGGUGCUACUCAGUGUGACUUAAUUGAGAAUAAAUUUUUCUGCAUAUGACUAACA
ensembl:lncRNA